UUUAUUCAUUAGGAAAUCGAUGAACCUUUGAUUAUUUAAUUUCCUUUAUUUCAUAAAUUCAAUAUAAAGUUUCAGUUGGACAAUUGUUUGAUUUAUAUGAUUUGAUUGCUUCCAUAAUUAUUGGCCAUAUGUUAUGUGAGUUUAGAUGAUUUAUUCUUUGCAUUCGAAAGAAGGGGAAUAGAUUCGAUAUAAUAUAAAUUAACAUAGGGUUCGAUAGGGGAUAGAAAUAUACCCCUAUGCUUUAUGCAAUUCAUAAGGCGUUCUUAAAAAUUCAUGCAUUCUUGUAUAAUUGCAUCAUCCAUAGAAAUAUAGGCUGGUGGUGUGCAAGAGUAGAUUCAGUAUAUAUCGAGAGAGUAUAUUGGAUAGGUUUAGGAACAUUGAAUUGGCAUUUUUCCAUCGAUUCGUUGAAUUUGUGAAAUUAGGGUUUUUAAUAGUCAAUUGGGGAUUCGAGAUCCUAAUGAUUGCAUUUCAAUUUAUUUCUAUACAUUAACUUCCAAAAAUUGCGUAUUUACAUUUUAAUUGAGUUUUUGAGUCAUUCAAUUAGUGAAAUUUCGAAAUUAGGGUUUCCAAUUUCGAAA
rnacentral:lncRNA from 1 species